rnacentral:rRNA from 1 species
GGCGGGGGGUGCAAGCGUUAUCCGGAAUCACUGGGCGUAAAGCGUCUGUAGGUGGUGAUGCAAGUCACUGGUGCAAAACUCUGGCUCAACCGGAGGAAAGCCAGUGAAACUGCAUGACUAGAGUGUGGGAGAGGUAGAAGGAAUUCCCUGAGUAGCGGUGAAAUGCGUAGAUGCAGGGAAGAACACCGGAGGCGAAAGCGUUCUACUGGAACACAACUGACACUGAGAGACGAAAGCUAGGGGAGCGAAUGGG